GGGCGACACAUCUAAAUCUUCGAACAGAUGUUUACGAAGAUGCAUGCACCUUUUUAGAUAAGUGUGCUACUGCCAGAUUUUCGCAUCUACUUUGCACUGCAUCCACUUUCAAAUCCUGCUGAGCGCUGCUUUGAGAUAGGAGGAGAUGUGAAUGGAUCGUAUGUAGAUAAGCGAAGGCCAGUCAAGUACAGAAUGUGAAAAGGGUUUAAUUGUUUUUUACAAAAAUAAAGUUCUGGCAUUUUCUCAACUUUUUAGACUUUAUCCACGCAAACUAAGCCCACAUGCACAAAUUGUUUAUCAGAGCAUUUAUCUACAUUUUGUCUAUGCUCAAUUGCGUUAUUAUAUCAAAAGCACCGCAAAAGAAAAAUGUAUGUGAGCUUGUACAAAAAAAAAGUUAGGCUCUUUUUAAAUGUUUGUUUUUGUGCAAAUGUAAAUAAUGCGUUUAUUUAAAUUGUUGAAAUUUUUUAUUCCAAAAUAUCGGGAAACUUUCCAUUAUCUCCGACCAGUAAAACCUCCAGCAACUUCUUCUGGAAAAUUGUAGUGAUUUCGUGCCCGAGAACGCUCCAGCUACCCCUUCCGGUAAAUGCUCCAGCAGUGCUUUCUGGUCGGGGAACUCUGCAGUUUUUAAUUUUCGAGUAUGCUGAGGAAUCCCAGAGAAAUUCUCGACGCAACUGCAGUGCUUCCUGAAGGAACUGAUAGAUUUUCACUCCGGAACUCCGAAAUGAGUUCAUUGAAGCAUCUCUGAGCAGAUAUUCUUACUGAAUUUCCGGGAGAAAUAUAUGUAGGCGUCAUCUUUGAACAUAAUUCCUGAAAGAAACCCCGGUAAUAGUUCCAGGGCUUUGUGCUGAGCUGAGAACUUUUUUUUAAUCUAUAAACAAACUGUAGGAAUUAGUUGGACAAAAGUUUGUAAUAAAUUGAUAAAAAUACAUAACGGAAUUCUGA